GGGUAGUUAGCUCAAUUGGUAGAGCAUGAAACUUUUAAUUUCAGGGUUGCGGGUUCAAUUCCCGCACUACCCUCCA
rnacentral:tRNA from 1 species